rnacentral:rRNA from 1 species
CCGAACCAGUACACGUUGAAAAGUGUUUGGAUGACCUGUGGGUAGGGGUGAAAGGCCAAUCAAACUCGGAAAUAGCUCGUACUCCCCGAAAUGCAUUUAGGUGCAGCGUUGAGACGAGUGUCAUAGAGGUAGAGCUACUGAUAGGGCUAGGGGGCUUCACCGCCUACCAAACCCUGACAAACUCCGAAUGCUAUGACAUAUUCUCAGCAGUGAGGGCAUGGGUGCUAAGGUCCAUGUCCGAGAGGGAAAGAACCCGGACCAUCAGCUAAGGUCCCCAAAUAUAUACUAAGUUGAAUAAACGAGGUUUGACUGCCUAGACAGCUAGGAUGUUGGCUUGGAAGCAGCCAUUCAUUUAAAGAGUGCGUAACAGCUCACUAGUCGAGUGAUCGUGCGUGGAUAAUAAUCGGGCAUAAGCAUAUUACCGAAGCUAUGGAUUUUAUGGUAGGGGAGCAUUCUGUACUGCGUUGAAUGUUAGCCGUGAGGCUAGCUGGAGUGUACAGAAAAGCAAAUGUAGGCAUAAGUAACGAUAAUGCGGGUGAGAAACCCGCACACCGAUAGACUAAGGUUUCCCCGGCAAUGCUAAUCAGCCGGGGGUUAGUCAGGACCUAAGGCGAACCCGAACGGGGUAGUCGAUGGACAACGGGUUAAUAUUCCCGUACUACCGCAUAGAGCGAUGGGGUGACGGAGUA